ACUGGUGGUGAGGGAUUUACAGUGUCUGCAGUGAAGUUAUUUAUACGCUGUUAUUUAUACUCAUGACAAAUUCAUAAUAUUGUACAUUGAAGACUGACCGAAAACAGAUGAAACACAGGAAAACCAAUUCAUGGUUUUAGAUGGUCAGGACAUGUCCUUCCUUGCUGAUCUGAAUGUACGGAUGCCAAGGAGAGAAGCACCAUAGCUAUGGAAGAGAAACCAGAGGAUGCUGGACCCUCUACAACACAAGCUCAUAAUAGAUGUUGUUGUCCGAUGGAACAGUACCUAUGAGAUGAUCUUUCAGUUUCUCGAGCAACCUGCCAUCUGUGCUGCCCUAUUAUCUCCCGAGGGGAAUUUUUUUCUUCUUCAGUUACACAGAUGUCGUGAUACGUCGUAGAUGAUUGUCUUGCGAUGUAUGGAGUAUCACAGAAUGUCUGUAUCGUGAUACCAUCAUUAACAUGGGCAGUGUAUUGUGAUAGUUUCGUAUUGUGAGUUACUCUGUGAUUCCCAGCCCUACUAACUAUAAUGUACAAUCAUAUUAAUGCAGGUGUACAGUGUGACCAGUAUGACAUCGUAUAAUACUUUACACUCCCUCCACCUCCCAAACGCCCUCUUUAUCUGCUAUAUUUUAAGCAUUGUUGAUUAUCCUGAGAUUUAUGGUCAUGUAUCUGUUCAGAUUCAGAUCCCAUCAGAUUCUUUGUUGCAGCACAUUUUCCCUCAAAGAACUAAGCCUUGUACACCAAAUCUAACUGUACAACAAAAUUUUUAUAAAUGGGAAAUUCUUUUAAGUGUUUC